AAACAUAGCGAACAGGUGAGUAAUAUAUAAGAAUCUACCUUAAAGAAUUGAAUAAUCAUCUUUAUUCGUAAAAAAUGCUUUGCAAUGAUAAAUUAAAAAGGGUUAAAUACUGCUUUAAGGUGAGCUUAUAAAGAAUUAGGUAGUUGGUGAGAUAAAAGCUUACCAAGCCGAUGAUUCUUAGUUGGUCUGAGAGGAUGAUCAGCCACACUGGGACUGAGAUAAGGCCCAGGCUUUUUUAGCCAGCAGUGAGGAAUUUUGGACAAUGUGCGAAAGCGUGAUCCAGUAAUACUGCGUGAAUGAGGAAAGUAAAAAAGGUUAUUGUUUUAGUAACCAAUUGUAAAAUUCUUUCGUUUAUGAAGAUAAUGACUUUAUUAAAAGAAGAAGCCCCGGCUAACUUCGUGCCAGCAGCCGCGGUAAUACGAAGGGGGCGAGCGUUAUCCGGAAUGAUUGGGCGUAAAGAGUUCGUAGGUGGUAUUUGUUGUUAUCUGUAAAAUACUAAAUUCAUUAUUUAGAAAUGCAUUUAAUACUCUUUUACUUGAGUCUCGUAGAGGAUAAUAGAAUUUCAUACAUAGGAGUGAAAUCCGAUUAUUUAUGAAGGAAUGUCAGUGGCGAAAGCGAUUAUCUGGACGAGUGACUGACACUGAGGAACGAAAGCAUAGGGAGCAAACAGGAUUAGAUACCCUGGUAGUCUAUGCUGUCAAAGAUGAGUGCUAUUAUUGGGAAUUUUCUGAUAUAAAGCUAACGCGUUAAGCACUCCGCCUGGGAAGUACGAUCGCAAGAUUGGAACCCAAAGGAAUUGACGGGGUCUACACAAGUGNGGAGCAUGUGGNUUAAUGCGAUAAUACCCGCAAACCUUACCAGUUCUUGAAU
rnacentral:rRNA from 1 species